AGUGAACGCUGGCGGCGUGCUUAACACAUGCAAGUCGAGCGAGAACGGCUCUAUCCUUCGGGAUAGAGUGUCAGCUAAGCGGCGCACGGGUGAGUAACACGUAGCUAACCUGCCCCAUAGUGGGGGAUAACAGCCCGAAAGGGCUGCUAAUACCCUAUACUCCUUCCAUACGAAAGUAUGGUUGUGGAAAGCGUUAGCGCUAUGGGAUGGGGCUGCGGCCUAUCAGCUAGUUGGUGGGGUAAAGGCCUACCAAGGCUAUGACGGGUAGCUGGUCUGAGAGGAUGGUCAGCCACACUGGAACUGAGACACGGUCCAGACUCCUACGGGAGGCAGCAGUGGGGAAUAUUGCACAAUGGGGGAAACCCUGAUGCAGCAACGCCGCGUGGAGGAUGACGCCCUUCGGGGUGUAAACUCCUUUUGACAGGGAAGAAGAUGACGGUACCUGUCGAAUAAGCACCGGCUAACUCCGUGCCAGCAGCCGCGGUAAUACGGAGGGUGCAAGCGUUACUCGGAAUCACUGGGCGUAAAGGGCGCGUAGGCGGUCUGCUAAGUUGGAUGUGAAAGCCCACAGCUUAACUGUGGAACUGCGUCCAAAACUGGUAGACUAGAGUCCGGAAGAGGCAGGUGGAAUUGGUGGUGUAGGGGUAAAAUCCGUAGAGAUCACCAGGAAUACCCAUUGCGAAGGCGACCUGCUGGGACGGUACUGACGCUGAGGCGCGAAAGCGUGGGGAGCAAACAGGAUUAGAUACCUGGUAGUC
rnacentral:rRNA from 1 species